GACGAACGCUGGCGGCGUGCCUAAUACAUGCAAGUAGAACGCACAGUUUAUACCGUAGCUUGCUACACCAUAGACUGUGAGUUGCGAACGGGUGAGUAACGCGUAGGUAACCUGCCUGGUAGCGGGGGAUAACUAUUGGAAACGAUAGCUAAUACCGCAUAAUAUUAAUUAUUGCAUGAUAAUUAAUUUAAAGGUGCAAUUGCACCACUACCAGGUGGACCUGCGUUGUAUUAGCUAGUAGGUGAGGUAACGGCUCACCUAGGCGACGAUACAUAGCCGACCUGGGAGGGUGAUCGGCCACACUGGGACUGGGACACGGCCCAGACUCCUACGGGAGGCAGCAGUAGGGAAUCUUCGGCAAUGGACGAAAGUCUGACCGAGCAACGCCGCGUGAGUGAAGAAGGUUUUCGGAUCGUAAAGCUCUGUUGUAAGAGAAGAACGGGUGUGAGAGUGGAAAGUUCACACUGUGACGGUAUCUUACCAGAAAGGGACGGCUAACUACGUG
rnacentral:rRNA from 1 species